UACGGGGGGGGCAAGCGUUGUUCGGAAUUACUGGGCGUAAAGGGUUUGUAGGUGGCUUGUUAAGUCAGACGUGAAAUCCCUCAGCUUAACUGGGGAACUGCGUCUGAUACUGGCGAGCUUGAGUGCAGGAGAGGAACGCGGAAUUCCAGGUGUAGCGGUGAAAUGCGUAGAUAUCUGGAGGAACACCUAUUGCGAAGGCAGCUCGCUGGGACGUAACUGACGCUGAGGCACGAAAGUGUGGGGAUCAAACAGG
rnacentral:rRNA from 1 species